UUGUUGGCGCAGUGGCAGUAUCGUAGCCUAUGAGUGUAAUCCGAGGCGCGAUAUUGAAAUAGUUGAAAACUUUACCCACCCCGCCUUGACGACUUGAAAUAUAGUCGGCUAUGCAAUUUGUCAUCCUCAGGAAGA
rnacentral:snRNA from 1 species